UCCUGAGUAGAGUGGCGCACGGGUGAGUAACACGUAGAUAAUCUACCUUCAAGCCUGGGAUAACUAUUCGAAAGGAUGGCUAAUACCGGAUGAAGUGCAUUGACAUAAGUUGAUGUAUGAAAGAUUGCCUCUUCUUGAAAGCAAUUGUUUGGAGAUGAGUCUGCGGACCAUUAGUUUGUUGGUGGGGUAAAGGCCUACCAAGACUACGAUGGUUAGCUGGUCUGAGAGGAUGAUCAGCCACACUGGAACUGGAACACGGUCCAGACUCCUACGGGAGGCAGCAGUGAGGAAUUUUGCGCAAUGGGGGAAACCCUGACGCAGCAACGCCGCGUGAGUGAAGAAGGCCCUUGGGUCGUAAAGCUCUGUCGACAGGGAAGAAAUUGAUUCAUAUUAAUAGUAUGUUUCAUUGACGGUACCUGUAGAGGAAGCACCGGCUAACUCCGUGCCAGCAGCCGCGGUAAUACGGGGGGUGCAAGCGUUAUUCGGAAUUAUUGGGCGUAAAGGGCGCGUAGGCGGUCUUGUCGGUCAGAUGUGAAAGCCCGGGGCUCAACCCUGGAAGUGCAUUUGAAACAGCAAGACUUGAAUACUGGAGAGGAGAGCGGAAUUCCUGGUGUAGAGGUGAAAUUCGUAGAUAUCAGGAGGAACACCGAUGGCGAAGGCAGCUCUCUGGACAGAUAUUGACGCUGAGGCGCGAAGGUGUGGGUAGCGAACGGGAUUAGAUACCCCGGUAGUCCACACAGUAAACGUUGUUCACUCGGUGUACCGGAUAUUAAAAUCUGGUGUGCC
rnacentral:rRNA from 1 species